UACGUAGGGGGGCAAGCGUUGUCCGGAUUUAUUGGGCGUAAAGAGCGUGUAGGCGGCCUGGAAGGUCCGUUGUGAAAACUCGAGGCUCAACCUCGAGACGUCGAUGGAAACCCUCAGGCUAGAGUCCGGAAGAGGAGAGUGGAAUUCCUGGUGUAGCGGUGAAAUGCGCAGAUAUCAGGAGGAACACCGGUGGCGAAGGCGGGUCUCUGGGCCGAUACUGACGCUGAGGAGCGAAAGCGUGGGAGCGAACAGG
rnacentral:rRNA from 1 species